rnacentral:rRNA from 1 species
GACAGAGGGUGCAAACGUUGUUCGGAAUUACUGGGCGUAAAGCGUGUGUAGGCGGUAAGAUAAGUCAGGUGUGAAAGCCCUGGGCUCAACCCAGGAAGUGCACUUGAUACUGUUUUGCUUGAGUACUGGAGAGGUUGGUGGAAUUCUCGGUGUAGAGGUGAAAUUCGUAGAUAUCGAGAGGAACAUCUGUGGCGAAGGCGGCCAACUGGACAGAUACUGACGCUGAGACACGAAAGUGCGGGGAGCAAACAGG